GUUUAAAUAGCUUAAUUUAAAGCAUGAUAUUGAAGAUAUUAUUAUGAAUAUUUAUUCUUUAAACA
rnacentral:tRNA from 1 species